UACGUAGGGUGCGAGCGUUAAUCGGAAUUACUGGGCGUAAAGGGCGCGUAGGUGGCGUGAUAAGGGUGUGGUGAAAGCCCGGGGCUCAACCCCGGGUCUGCCAUGCCGACUGUCAGGCUCGAGUGCUGUAGGGGCAGGCGGAAUUCCGGGUGUAGCGGUGGAAUGCGUAGAGAUCCGGAAGAACACCGGAGGCGAAGGCGGCUUGCUGGGCUCGGUCUGACGCUGAGGCGCGAAAGCGUGGGGAGCGAACAGG
rnacentral:rRNA from 1 species